rnacentral:rRNA from 1 species
CGGGCGACUUUCGGGUGUCAGCGGCGGACGGGUGAGUAACGCGUGGGAACGUGCCUUCUGGUUCGGAAUAACUCAGGGAAACUUGAGCUAAUACCGGAUACGCCCUUUGGGAAAGGUUUACUGCCGGAAGAUCGGCCCGCGUCUGAUUAGCUAGUUGGUGGGGUAAUGGCCUACCAAGGCGACGAUCAGUAGCUGGUCUGAGAGGAUGAUCAGCCACACUGGGACUGAGACACGGCCCAG